UACGUAGGGUGCGAGCGUUAAUCGGAAUUACUGGGCGUAAAGCGUGCGCGAGCGGUUCGUUGUGUCGGCGGUGAAAGCCCCGGGCUUAACCUGGGAAUGGCCGUUGAAACUGGCGAACUGGAGUGUGGCAGAGGGGGGUGGAAUUCCGCGUGUAGCAGUGAAAUGCGUAGAGAUGCGGAGGAACACGAUGGCGAAGGCAGCCCCCCUGGGCUGACACUGACGCUCGAG
rnacentral:rRNA from 1 species